GACGAACGCUGGCGGCGUGCUUAACACAUGCAAGUCGAACGAUGAAGCUGGAGCUUGCUCCGGUGGAUUAGUGGCGAACGGGUGAGUAACACGUGAGCAAUCUGCCCUUGACUCUGGGAUAACUGCGGGAAACUGUAGCUAAUACCGGAUACUUUCACUGGAAGGCAUCUUCUGGUGAAGAAAGAAUUUCGGUCAAGGAUGAGCUCGCGGCCUAUCAGCUUGUUGGUGAGGUAACGGCUCACCAAGGCGACGACGGGUAGCCGGCCUGAGGGGGUGACCGGCCACACUGGGACUGAGACACGGCCCAGACUCCUACGGGAGGCAGCAGUGGGGAAUAUUGCACAAUGGGCGCAAGCCUGAUGCAGCAACGCCGCGUGAGGGAUGAAGGCCUUCGGGUUGUAAACCUCUUUUAGCAGGGAAGAGGCGAAAGUGACGGUACCUGCAGAAAAAGCACCGGCUAACUACGUGCCAGCCGCCGCUGUAA
rnacentral:rRNA from 1 species